rnacentral:rRNA from 1 species
GACGAACGCUGGCGGCGUGCUUAACACAUGCAAGUCGAACGGUAAGGCCCUUCGGGGUACACGAGUGGCGAACGGGUGAGUAACACGUGGGUGAUCUGCCCUGCACUUCGGGAUAAGCCUGGGAAACUGGGUCUAAUACCGGAUAGGACUCCGGACUGCAUGGUCUGGGGUGGAAAGCUUUUGCGGUGUGGGAUGGGCCCGCGGCCUAUCAGCUUGUUGGUGGGGUGAUGGCCUACCAAGGCGACGACGGGUAGCCGGCCUGGGAGGGUGACCGGCCACACUGGGACUGAGAUACGGCCCAGAGUCCUACGGGAGGCAGCGGUGGGGAAUAUUGCACAAUGGGCGCAAGCCUGAUGCAGCGACGCCGCGUGAGGGAUGACGGCCUUCGGGUUGUAAACCUCUUUCAGCAUCGACGAAGCGAAAGUGACGGUAGGUGCAGAAGAAGGACCGGCCAACUACGUGCCAGCAGCCGCGGUAA